rnacentral:rRNA from 1 species
UACGUAGGGUGCAAGCGUUGUCCGGAAUUAUUGGGCGUAAAGAGCUCGUAGGCGGUCUGUCGCGUCUGCUGUGAAAACUCAGGCUUAACCCUGAGCUUGCAGUGGGGUACGGGCAGACUAGAGUGCGGUAGGGGAGACUGGAAUUCCUGGUGAUAGCGGUGAAAUGCGCAGAUAUCAGGAGGAACACCGGUGGGCGAAGGCGGAUCUCUGGGCCGAUUACUGACGUGGAGGAAGCGAA